rnacentral:rRNA from 1 species
UACGUAGGGUGCGAGCGUUGUCCGGAAUUAUUGGGCGUAAAGAGCUCGUAGGCGGUUUGUUGCGUCGGGCUGUGAAAACCUGCGGCUUAACUGUGGGCUUGCAGUCCGAUACGGGCAGACUUGAGUUCGGCAGGGGAGACUGGAAUUCCUGGUGUAGCGGUGAAAUGCGCAGAUAUCAGGAGGAACACCGGUGGCGAAGGCGGCAUCCUGGACCGACACUGACGCUGAGGAGCGAAAGCCAGGGGAGCAAACGGG